CGAAUGUUAUUAGGAGCACGUUGAAAACGAAAUAUGCCAUACAAAAAGAUGGGCAGGUCGAAUUCAUGUUUAUAACGUGUGGGUUGGGUGGUUCAAAUAAAUAUGAGUUGAAACUGCACCCAUCACUAAUCAUACACUCGGUGGGGAUAAUGUACCACUCUCUAUCAAGUCAUGUCUGCCAUGACUAUUUCCUAUCUUCUGAGUUUGUGAACCAAGGAAAGAAGCCAGAAAACCAUUUGUUCUCUUUCCCUUCAUUUUCACAUUUCUGAAUUCUGAUCAUUCUUUUUGUUCUUCAAGCCAUACAUAUUAAUACUGCAGACUUGGAGAAUAUCAUCUUGAACAAGAAAGUUAAAAGUUCCUUUAACAAUGCAUGUAGCAGGUUCAAACAGUAGGAAACUGCAGCUUAUCAGCAGCAACAUAUAGGAGAAAGUUCUUUGUAAGGAAAGCUGGGAGCAACAAUAUUGCAGACAUUUCUAAUUUGCUAUACAACUGCUUCAGAAAUUAACGCUGGAAAAAGCCCAGACUAA